CUAAUCAGAAAUUUCGCCUUCUUGCAAACAUAAUGUCGUGGAUAGAUGAUGUAUCAACAUUACCCCCAUUCUCUCCGUUAUGCUAAGAUUUAAAUUUACACUUCUGCUACUCCCUUCAUGUCCGCUGUCAGAUUAAUUAUUCAAUAUCAUGAAUCUCCUUCAUCUUCUUGUUCCCCAAACCCAGCUGCUGCUACCAGAGUCAGGAGCCAUAGAAUCAAACUACUUCCACACUCAGUGUAUGUUUGAACUUGAAACUACUUUCACAAUAUGGAUGUUACGAUCCAAUAUGAUACAGUUCUAUUUUAUUAAGGUUAUAAUAUGUUGGAGAAGGAAGCUGCGGUAAUCGUCUUGUCGUUUUUGUUGCAGAUCCAGCCGGCAGCCACCGUGCAACAAGCCCUUGCGAACCUGAAUAAUAUCACACUGCUAGCAAGUGAAUAAGGUAAUCUUCAUUUUCCUUAUCGUGUUAGUCUUCUUUAACAAUUUUCUGGAAAAAUGCUUCGUCUCUGCAAAUAGUCCAGUUGUUCAAAAAGAUUCCUCCAAACAAUAAAAAGAAGGCCAAAAGACUUAUUCCCACCUAAA